rnacentral:rRNA from 1 species
AGCGAACGCUGGCGGCAGGCCUAACACAUGCAAGUCGAACGAAGUCUUCGGACUUAGUGGCGGACGGGUGAGUAACACGUGGGAACGUGCCUUUAGGUUCGGAAUAACUCAGGGAAACUUGUGCUAAUACCGAAUGUGCCCUUCGGGGGAAAGAUUUAUCGCCUUUAGAGCGGCCCGCGUCUGAUUAGCUAGUCGGUGAGGUAAAGGCUCACCAAGGCUACGAUCAGUAGCUGGUCUGAGAGGAUGACCAGCCACAUUGGGACUGAGACACGGCCCAAACUCCUACGGGAGGCAGCAGUGGGGAAUCUUGCGCAAUGGGCGAAAGCUUGACGCAGCCAUGCCGCGUGGAUGGUGAAGGUCUUAGGAUUGUAAAAUCCUUUCACCGGUGAAGAUAAUGACUGUAGCCGGAGAAGAAGCCCCGGCUAACUUCGUGCCAGCAGCCGCAGUAACAC